GAUAUAAGUCGUAACAUGGUUGCUGUUGGAGAACCAAUAGCAGGAUCAUAA
rnacentral:rRNA from 1 species